AUGUGGUAGAAUUAAGCUACAGAGCUCACUUUCAAUCCAUUGGAAACCCUUGUUGUUUCUACCCUGUGAAUCUAAAGUCCAUGCAAGCAGAACCAUUUUAUUUGCUGAUGUGUCACCUACCCCUUCAGUUAUGCCUGGCACCAAAACUAGGUGUAUAAUUAAAAUUGAUUGAAUGAAUGAAUGAUUUCCCCACAGGGGUCAGUUCUGCCUCAUACCCAACUGCAGAAAGCUGGCCAGUGGAGAAAGACACAAUCGCCAGUCACCCUGUGGGAGGCAGAGGGCAGGUGAGCAGGGGGCCCAGCGGUGACAGACACAGGGCUGCUCUGCCCUGGGCACUUGACCUAAGCAGCCUUUCUGAACCAUAUUUUCCUUUUCAGUUUUGUUUAUCGUUCUAGAUCUGGCUUCAACUCACCUGUUUCAGCGUUUCAGCCUUGUGCCUCACGUGUGAUUCUAAUUCUGACAUUCCUUUGUCUUGGCUUUCUGACAUUCCCAGCUUCACUUGAGAUCCCAUUUUAGGUGUCCUUCUCCUGCCUGCCUGGUUCUGGACCCCAGCGGUACCACGCUCCUGAGCCAAAAGGGUCUUUUCACUGUCUUCCAGUUUUCUCUUGGUACUGUGCGGUGGACCUGGAAGCCCACUAGGCACCGGGUUAGCUAAGAAAUGACGGUACUUGGAUCUGCUGUCAGCUGGGAAGCGCCGGCAGAUUUUAUUUGUAAGUCCUCUCUACACCCAGUGUGGGGCUCGGUCUCAUAACCCGGAGAUCAAGAGUUGCCUGCUCCUCCAACGGAGCCACCAGAGCCCCUCAACUCCCAUCUUGGCAGCCCUUCCCUGCUGUCCACUGUAGCCUGAGGCCUUAGGCCAGUGGUCUCCAAACUUCUUUAAU